GAUGAAGAACGCAGUGAAAUGCGAUAAGUAAUGUGAAUUGCAGAAUUCAGUGAAUCAUCGAAUCUUUGAACGCACAUUGCGCCCGCCAGUAUUCUGGCGGGCAUGCCUGUCCGAGCGUCAUUUCAACCCUCGGGCCCCCCUCUGCGGGCGGCCCGGCGUUGGGGCUCAGGCGCCGUCUCUGCUCGGCGCCUGUCCCCUAAAUGCAGUGGCGGCCUCGCCGCUGCCUCCUCCGCGUAGUAGCACAAACCUCGCGGCUGGAAGGCGGCGCGGCCACGCCGUAAAACCCCCCAACUUUACCAAGGUUGACCUCGGAUCAGGUAGGAAUACCCGCUGAACUUAAGCAUAUCAAAAGCGGAGGA
rnacentral:misc_RNA from 1 species